GACGAACGCUGGCGGCGUGCCUAAUACAUGCAAGUAGAACGAGUUGCGAACGGGUGAGUAACGCGUUGUAACCUGCCUCAUAGCGGGGGGUAAAUAUUGGAAACGAUUGCUUAUACCGCAUACUGUGAGAUGUACCUGCUUUGUAUUAGCUAGUUGGAGAGGUAAAGGCUCACAAAGGCGACGAUACAUAGCCGAUCUGAGAGGUUGAUCGGCCACACUGGGACGGAGACACGGUCCAGACUCCUACGGGAGGCAGCAGUGGGGAAUAUUGAACAAUGGGCGCAAGCCUGAUGCAGCCAUGCCGCGUGUAUGAAGAAGGCCUUCGGGUUGUAAAGUACGGUCAGCGGGGAGGCGUUACCCGCAGAAGAAGCACCGGCUAACUCCGUGCCAGCAGCCGCGGUAAUAC
rnacentral:rRNA from 1 species